rnacentral:rRNA from 1 species
UACGUAGGGGGCAAGCGUUGUCCGGAAUCAUUGGGCGUAAAGAGCGUGUAGGCGGUUCGGUAAGUCCGCUGUAAAAGUCCAGGGCUCAACCCUGGAAAGCCGGUGGAAACUGUCGAACUAGAGUCCGGAAGAGGCGAGUGGAAUUCCUGGUGUAGCGGUGAAAUGCGCAGAUAUCAGGAGGAACACCAAUGGCGAAGGCAGCUCGCUGGGACGGUACUGACGCCUGAGACGCGAAAGCGUGGGGAGCAAACAGG